GUAAGGAAUAUUGGGCAAUGGGCGAAAGCCUGACCCAGCCAUGCCGCGUGCAGGAUGACGGCUCUAGUAGUUGUAAACUGCUUUUAUAUGGGAAGAAACCCCCGAUCGUGAUCGGGGCUGACGGUACCGUAUGAAUAAGGAUCGGCUAACUCCGUGCCAGCAGCCGCGGUAAUACGGAGGAUCCAAGCGUUAUCCGGAUUUAUUGGGUUUAAAGGGUGCGUAGGCGGGAUAGUAAGUCAGUGGUGAAAGCCUACAGCUUAACUGUAGAAUUGCCAUUGAUACUGUUAUCCUUGAGUGUAGUUGAAGUGGGCGGAAUGUGUCAUGUAGCGGUGAAAUGCAUAGAUAUGACACAGAACACCAAUUGCGAAGGCAGCUCACUAAACUAUUACUGACGCUGAGGCACGAAAGCGUGGGGAGCGAACAGG
rnacentral:rRNA from 1 species